UGCAAGUCGAACGAGCUUCCGUUGAAUGACGUGCUUGCACUGAUUUCAACAAUGAAGCGAGUGGCGAACUGGUGAGUAACACGUGGGGAAUCUGCCCAGAAGCAGGGGAUAACACUUGGAAACAGGUGCUAAUACCGUAUAACAACAAAAUCCGCAUGGAUUUUGUUUGAAAGGUGGCUUCGGCUAUCACUUCUGGAUGAUCCCGCGGCGUAUUAGUUAGUUGGUGAGGUAAAGGCCCACCAAGACGAUGAUACGUAGCCGACCUGAGAGGGUAAUCGGCCACAUUGGGACUGAGACACGGCCCAAACUCCUACGGGAGGCAGCAGUAGGGAAUCUUCCACAAUGGACGAAAGUCUGAUGGAGCAAUGCCGCGUGAGUGAAGAAGGGUUUCGGCUCGUAAAACUCUGUUGUUAAAGAAGAACACCUUUGAGAGUAACUGUUCAAGGGUUGACGGUAUUUAACCAGAAAGCCACGGCUAACUACGUGCCAGCAGCC
rnacentral:rRNA from 2 species